rnacentral:lncRNA from 1 species
AGAAAGAUGGCCGCUGGCAUGCUCUGGCCUAGAAUGCCAUGCUUUAGGCUGGAAAGCAGGCUCCGAAAGAGGGAGGGGAAGGGAAGCUCAUGAGGUGCCCCACUCCUCCCCCUCCCAAUGAAGCACAGAGCCUGGUGGCUAAAUUCUUCUCGACUCUGGACCGUACCUUAUCCACCAUGGCACACGGCUCUCCCUCCCAACAACCCCUGGCACUGUUGCCAGCAUGUCUUUUGCUGUACAGGCUCUCUUGCAUGCGUGCCUCACUUUGUGAGGUAGGUGGGCCCGGAAAGGGAGAGGAAAGCCCCAACCUCCAGCCAAGCUUCCUUUCCCAGGCAAAAGAAGCCACCUUCCAGCCUCCGGAGCAUUUGCGAACCUUGAGCCCCCUACCCUGCAAAUCUGGUAGCUAGCCCCUGCGCAUGCGCGCCCCGCUUCGAGUGGAACAGCAGACCCCGUACGGAGGCGGGGAAGAAAGAAUCUGAGGCCCCGCCUCCAUAGGUUCGGCCGCCCCCGGUUAAUAAACUGGGGGCGAUUGUGCCCCAGGGAACGUCCCGAGUUAUGUCCGCUGCCUCCGCCCUCCUUUUCUUACCUUGGUGAGGUCAGUUUGGCUCCCAGGCUCUGGCCCUUCCCCAGCCUCCCUGGCUCCAGCCACGUGGACCUCUUCUAGCGGGAAGACGCGGCUCCGCCCCCAAGACCCGUGCGCAGGCGCAGUGUGCAGCCUACCCACGCAAACUGUAGGAGGGAGAACCUCGAGGUGGCUGGUGCUCCUGGGGUGUGGUUGGUUGACAUAUCAAUUGCACAGAGAAAGCCGCAGGUCCUAGAGACAUCGAGAUCCAGGGGGAAUCAAUCAGCUCUCCCUUCCAGACACUUCACCAGGACCAGAAAGAUGGAAGCUGGUCCAACAACUUCAGAUGGAUUUUUCGUGUACCCCAGGGAACUCUACGGCCAUAGCAGAGCAGGUGCUAUUCGGCGUUGGUAUAGAGAGCUUCCUGUACUGGUGAAAUCAGUCAAGAAACGAGCUUCCCAAGAGAACUGGCAUGAAUCUGACUCAGAAGAAAGGGAGGGAAAGAAAAAGAAGAUCUAUGAAUGGACUGUAACCGAAGUGGGAGAUACUUGGAUUAAGAUGAAGCAUACAAAAGAAGCUUCCUUCAGCUCCAAAAACCUUGCUGCCCUCUCCCAACUUCUGAAGGAUCCAGUCAUUAAAAAAUUCCUUGCGACUGAUAUGAAAUGCUAUUCCACUAAUAAGGUAAGUAUAGUCCCCAGGGUUAAACCAUUAUGGGAAAAUAUAAAGCAUAGAAGAGUGUCUCAUGGGUAGCUUCGAGCCCUCGUAAGGAGAAUUAGUAAUAGAACGUGGCAAAUUAGAAUUCACUGGUUUCUCUCAAGAUGGUGCAACCAAGAGAAAGCAAAGAGGGACAUGGGGUUAGAAGUUGACCCUAGGAUGGCAGGCACUUACUUCCAGACCAUUUGUACUUCCUCUAUCAUUGUUCCCAAACCUUUGCUUUUUUUUUUUAAACCCUUACCUUCUGUCUUGGAGUCAAUACUGUGUAUUGGCUCCAAGGCAGAAGAGUGGUAAGGGCUAGGCAAUGGGGGUCAAGUGACUUGCCCAGGGUCACACAGCUAGGAAGUGGCUGAGGCCGGAUUUGAACCUAGGACCUCCCGUCUCUAGGCCUGGCUCUCAAUCCACUGAGCGACCUAGCUGCCCCCAGCCAAACCUUUGCUUUUUACUUCACCUGGUACCCCCACUCAACCUCCCUGAUUGUUCUUGCAC